rnacentral:rRNA from 1 species
UAGCGUAGGGUGCAAGCGUUAUCCGGAAUUAUUGGGCGUAAAGAGCUCGUAGGCGGUUUGUCGCGUCUGCUGUGAAACUGGAGGCUCAACCUCCAGCCUGCAGUGGGUACGGGCAAACUAGAGUGCGGUAGGGGAGAUUGGAAUUCCUGGUGUAGCGGUGGAAUGCGCAGAUAUCGAGGAGGAACACCGAGUGGCGAAGGCAGACU